GGGGGGGGACAGCAGGUUUCAUCGAUUCCAUUGGACACCAAACUUUUUCCUUUUACCAUUUUAUACGAAUUAAAUUUUGGUGUUUCAUAAAAAAAAAUAAUUAUUUAUGAUAUUGCAGCACGCACACUCAAGGACUUCGCAGUGCAUCUUGCUGUGUGUACAUAGUAUUUAAGCCAUCAGACAAUAGUGUUUUGGAUCAUACUAUUAUUUUCAGUAACACCAAGAAUAAAAUAUUUUUUGUAAUACCUAUCUGUUAAUCAGUCUUAUUUUCCAGAAAAUGCUCAAAUUUUGCUAGAAACAAUUGUUAAACAAGUCACAUUCCCAUAGAAUAUCUUCCAUUGUUUCCUCUUCAGAAUAACCAUGAUUGCAGUACUUUGACUCAAUUGUUUGUUUGAUUUUGAAUAAAAAAGAGUUUGUAGCUAAGAUUCAGUUGAUAAUUCUGUAUUGAAACAAUUGGAUUUUGCUAUCUUUUGCCACUCAUUUUAUGAAUUAUUUACCAUUAUUUAGUGGUAUCUUUCAUUCCAUUUUGUUUUGCCUAAUUUGAUUUAUAAUUUCAUAAAACAAUAUUUUGAUUUGUUGCAUUUCAACACUGUAUAUAUGUUUGACAUAAUCAAUAUAUUUGUGAGCUUUUUCAUAGUUUAGUCGCAUCCACAAUUUUCACCCAAGCCUUAACAGCAUGAGUAAUGCUAUCAUAUUCUUAAAAAAUAAUCUUCGUAUUUCGAUAAGUAUUGCAAAACGAUUCAAGACAGGAAAUGAACCAUCUUCAUUGAUAAUAUCAUUAAAUUGUCUGAUGCCGCUGUCAAACAUUUGUUUAUUAUAAAAUUGUUUUCCACCAUCAUGGAUAUUUGGGUUAUAAAAUAGAGAUGCAUCAGCAGCAACAUCAGACGUUUUACUACGGUUGUGUAAUGUAAGCUAUGAUUUAAAUACAUCUAUCCAAAAUUUAUUUUUCAACGUUUUCAUUUUGUAAUGUACGGUGUAUUCAAUUCCACAGUUUAUCAAUUUUCUGAAGUCAAACUUUGGAAUAAAAUGUUCCAUCCAUCCAAUUGAAAACAUGAGAUAACUUAUCCAGAAUAAUUUUAUAUAGAUGCUAUAAAUGCUAUUAGGUUUACCAUUUUUAAUCCCUAUCUUCUUAUUUUUUUAAGAAUGACCUCCUUUUUACCCUAUGCGUUUAAUUAUUCCAUAUAAACAAGAAUAUCUUUUCUAAUGUAAAGAAAAGAAGGUUUUUCGAUUGACAUUAAAACAUGGUUUAGUAAUGGUAAAAGCCAAUGUCUUAAUAACUGUAAUUUUCCCUAUAGAGUUAAAAACCUUUUCUCCCAUUGUUUGAUUAUUGAUUUAAUCUGUAUUAAGUUUGGUUCAUAGUUUAUUUGUGGUAUCUUAUCUAAUUCCAUGUCAAAAUGUAUUCCCAACAAAGUAAAUCUGGUGUACCCACCUAAACCUGUAAUUUGGCAGCAAAGUUUCAUUGCUAUAUUUUUGGGGAAUUUAACUAUAUUACAUGAAUGAUUUUGAUAAUUGAUAUAUACAUGUAGUCCAAAUAUUUCUAAAGUUCUAAAAGUUUCUGUGAGAGAUUAUUCACUGUCAUCAAGGAGAAGUGAGGUAUCAUCAGCCAAUUCCAAUUGCAGUGAAGUACUUGUUUUCGAUGUAGAUGCAGGAUUACCUCCUCAGUCUCGAAAUGUUGUUUAAAAUUUCAAAACAAAACUGAUAGAUUUAAUCUCUCUCUCUCUCUCUCUCUCUCUCUCUCUCUCUCUCUCUCUCUCUCUCUCUCAGUUCUCGAUAUUUCUUUUUAGAAAUGGUUUCAAUACUGAGUUUCUUGUGAGUGUCCGCAAUCAAUCACUUGACUAACAAUUAUUAUGAAACACGUCAAACAACAUUUCACCUAAUGACAGGUUGUACAGUAAAUUAAAUCGGUAUAAUAAUCCUGAAACCCAUGUGACGUAAACACCAUAUGUAUAGUAGGAGAUGAUUGGAUAUUAAAUGGAAUAAUCAAUUUAUAGAAAUAUUUUUUGAAAUGCAAUAUUGAAACUUGAUAAGGAACUAUGACGUCGAAUAUAUAGGAAUAGCACGUGACGUCACGUGUGUACGGGUGGAAAUCUAGUCAUAUCAUUGCCAUGAAUAGCUGACAUUCGCUUUGUUUCGUUUACGUACAUGUAACUUAGGUAACCUACCAAGUAACAUGUUUACUAAUCACGAGUAAAUUCGAUGUGUUUAGUCUCAUUGAAACUUCGGGGACGGGGGAGGUCUCGUGCGAGAUCGCAAUGAAAUUGUGUGGACUCAAAUGUUUGUUUUUUUCUGAACUCGGAAGUUAAUUUUAAGGCAAGUGGUCACGGAAGAUAUUAAAAAUCACCAUUUAUAUGUGCAUGUAAACACACCUGACAUAGCCAAAUAGGGAAUCAGUUUUCCCUGCAUGUGACAAAAAGCUCGUGAUACGUUAAGGAUAAAAUAAUAAUAAAAAAAAAAAAAAAAAAAACGUGGGUUGGAAUAUCCCUUUCAUUCUCAGGAAACAAAAGCAGUUCCGGUGUGGUAUGACAACGGGGAAUAGCGUCUUUCUCGGAUCUAAAGUUUGUUAUUUUGUCGGUGUUCAGAAGAGUACAUCGCCUUCAAAGGAAAUAUCCAGAAUUCAAACGGAAAAUGGGAUGAAGCAAGGGCUUUAAGACCGCUCUCCUCCGCUGUAGAAAACUUACACGGUUACCUCCCGUAGACCAAAUCGAUGUUAGAACGUUUACGAGAGUUUAAAGACGGGGAAUUGAAAAUGGGACGGAAAACAGAAUCGGAAUGACUUGGGGCCGGAUCAACAGGGGCCGGGUCGACUAGGGCCGGAUUGACCUUAGGGCCGGAUUGAUCGACAUUCGUCUAACAAUGCUUUUUGUAGUAUAUCAUAUUUACAAAAUUUUAAAAUAGAAAAUACUGUGGGCACGAUUUGAGCUGAACAUUUUCAAAUUUGAUUUUUAAUUUUUAAUGUUUAGAAUGCUUAACUAAAGUAUUACUAAUGAUCAGCAAAAAUUUGAAUGUCAGUAGUCAAGGUACAUGGGAGAUACAGAGGUCACAAGUCCUUGUUAUGUAAACAUUCCAAAUACGAAAACGUGAUAUGAACCUAGCUUAUCAUGAAUACAAUGCAGUGAGAGUGAAAUUGAACUUAGAAUGCCAUCCUUUUAUUUAUUUGCAAUUCACUUACAGAUAAUCAUAUGAUGAUGUUGUACCUGGAAUGUGACCUCUGGUCACCUAUUGAUUUCAGACAUGAACAUUAUGUUGCUAUAUAUUAUAUCAUAUGAUGCUACAACAGUGUCAAGGUGAAUUUUUAGAUUACCUAAGCCAAAGAAUGGAAUGAAUUGUUUUGAUCAUUUGUCUGUCUGUUUGUAAUUUGUUUUAUCUACUGGGCAUAUUUUCACCAAACUUUAAGUAAGGGUUGUCCAGAGUAACGCCCAGCUGGUCUAUGGGUAUUUUGUCUAAAUUACAUUGUAUGUUGGGUUUGACUUUGUAAUUAUUCAUUACAAUUGUUGUAAAU